UACAAUCUGCAGCCCCUGGGUCUGUGCAGUUACCAGCCAGUCCCCUGAGAACUUUCCCCUCCAGCACCCAGGAAAAUGGGAUUUUUGCUCCUUGUAAUUUUCACUGUAGCAGCUUUGGAAGGUGUCCGGUCCCAAGUGCUGGUGGAGUCUGGAGGGGAUGUGAAAAAGCCUGGAGACUCUCUCCGCCUCUCCUGCAAAGCCUCCGGGUUCACCUUCAGCAGCUACGACAUGAACUGGGUCCGUCAGGCUCCUGGGAAGGGGCUGGAGUGGGUCGCUCAAAUUCAAACCACCUCUACGUACUACGCUGAUUCAGUGAAAGGCCGAUUCACCAUCUCCAGGGAUAAUUCCAAGAGUGAGCUGUAUCUGCAAAUGACCGGCCUGAAGCCCGAGGACACCGCCCGCUAUUACUGUGCGGGAGACACAGUGAAACGAAACCGGUUUGUGAUCAUACAAAAACCCAGGCUGCGGAAUCGCCUUUCUCCUGGCAGCCGUGCGGGGGCAGCAGUGACACACACACCGCUUCGGGCUCGGACAGGAGACUGGGAAACCAGGUGA